UGUGAGUACACUGCCAGUCAAAACAUUAGAUACUUGACACUUGAAACCAUUUCUCAUCAUCUUAACUUUUUGAUCUGAAGGCAGUUGCUUAAAUGAUCAAAAUUAUUGUUAAAUUUAGGUAUUGGGUGGAUUAAGGGAUGUAGAAUAUUGUCAUGCAGAAUAAGGCAUUAAUAUGUGCUUCAUAAUAACUAACAAACAGUUAAUAUCCUAGUAAUUUGCAUGCUAAUAAUAAUUUGCAGUUCAUAGUGAGAAUUGGACCCUAAACUAAAGUGUUACCGAAAAGUUUUUUGUUUUUUUUUACAUUAUGGUCACUACAUAAUUUACUUCCAUUUGUUGUUUCAUAGCUAUAAUGACUUUACUAUUCAUCUAAAAUAUAUAAAAUAGUCAUAAAGAAUGAGUAGAUGUGAAUAAAAUUUUGACUGGUAGUGUCAGAUUCA